rnacentral:rRNA from 1 species
UACAGAGGUCUCAAGCGUUGUUCGGAAUCACUGGGCGUAAAGGGUGCGUAGGCGGCGGGGCAAGUCUGAUGUGAAAUCCCGGGGCUCAACCCCGGAACUGCAUUGGAUACUGCCUUGCUCGAGUACUGGAGAGGGAACUGGAAUUUACGGUGUAGCAGUGAAAUGCGUAGAGAUCGUAAGGAAGGCCAGUGGCGAAGGCGAGUUCCUGGACAGUUACUGACGCUGAGGCACGAAGGCCAGGGGAGCAAACGGG